GUACUUUAGGCCUAAUAUUUUCUCUGCAGAAAAUAUAGUUUUCUAUGUAGCAGAUGUAGUUUGGCUACAUCUGAAAAUGCCAAUGGAUUAAGCCUAAAAUGAUUCAAGCUUCUGAGGUAUGAUGAAUUUCCACCAAAUCUAAGACAGGUCUGCCUGAACUCCUGCCUACAGUCCUGGUCCACUACUCCAGGAUUGGGUCUCUUUCCCAUCUUUUCCCCUCCAAACUGUUCACCUCUGUGGUAGACUUCUAGAUAUGCUCCAAAUCAGCAUCUCUAAAAUGGCCAAGUGGACUCACCCCAACAUUGAGACCUGAACUGCUCCAGGAUCAGGCACCAGGUAUCACUUUUCACUUGUGAAGUAACAAGAGACAAGUUUCUGGAAACAGGCAGUCUGAGCAAAAGCAAGCAAUUUAAGCGGUGUUAUCUCUUCACAUUGCUCAUGCACAAUUCAUGGGUUCUAGCCCAGCUGAAAUUUCUCAGGUUGACAAAGGCUUCUUCAAUCUGCAAGGGGCAAUGACACUUGUGGUUGGAAAGACUGUUGGGAAACCAAGGUAUCCUUAGGGGAGCAAGGAGGGAGUGCUCAUCUUGCCUAGAAGAGCUUGAGUUUUGCUUGGUAUGUGUAAAGGCUUUGAAAGCCUACUUAUAUUUUCUUACAUACCUAUGCUAUACAUUCACAGCAAGGUCAUCCAAUCUAGGCCUCUGUCAUUUCACCAUUAGCUUACUGGAACUAUUUAUCUGCUGGUACGUAAUUGAUGGACCUGGAGGUUUAGCAUUUCUCCACCCUGUCUUAAUGCUGUUUAGUACAUCGUGUUCCAAAACAGAUCGCAAAUGCCUGGGAUGUGGACUAGGGCACUUCUUACAAACCAUUUAACAAGCUGAGGUAUGAUACCCUAAGCUCUCUGCAGUCUAGGAGUUCUUCAUCUUGUUGUUCAUAUUUACAUGAAUUAUGAAUUGUGUGAUACUUGUUUAAGACUCCACUAUUUUAAACAGUUGGAUAAAUAAAUUUCUGUGGUACAAUUUAAUUAGCAGAGGUGCUUGGCACUGUUCAUUUUACAGAAACUGCCUAAGCCGAGCAGCUGUGAUACUCUUGUUUAGUCACCUCAUUAAUGACAAAGUGAAUGUUACAACUGUUUUCCCAAAUAGCAUGGUAGAGGUGUUUGAGGAAACAAUUUUCUUACAAAAAAAGGAGCCUUAGUUCAACUGCAAAUCCAUGAAAUGGACACCAUAAUUUUGUAUCUUGAAGUAUCCCAUUACAGUGGGGAAAUGUUGUGCCUGUUUGGAGUCCUGCCUUUUAGAGCAAGAUGAUACAUCAUUGGCUGCACUCAUGCACUGUAGCUCAGGUUUUAUAAAGGUGAAAUACAGAGCAUUUGAAUCCCACAAAUUUGAAGCCUAACAACACUUUAACAUUAAACUUCUUGCAAGACCUCCUGAAAUACUCAGGGUGUCAAAGAAACAGCACCUUAGAACCUACCUCUUUGCCAAAAGUUAUCCUGUACAGAUGCUCGACUGGAAUAACCAGAUUGAGAAAUGAUGAUGGGAACUCUUCUGAAAUAUCAAAGUGUAGUAUUUACUGAACAUGCAUCAGAGGCUUUGGUAUGUGGGUCAUCUUAAUGCUUCCAUCUUCUGGUACUGUGUCAUUUUUUUAUUGCGCAUACUCACUCUAUUAAUGCUUUGUCUUAUGCUGUGGUCCUUUAAUGCUGCUUCUUGUAAAGCUCCCAUUUUGUUUAAAAUUUGAUUGUAACUGGGUUCACCCUGUGUGACUAUGAGGGGGAGACCUAUAAACCCAUCGUGUCUUAAACCGUGUUAUCCUUUAGGCAUCACUAUUACUCUCAGGAUGUUAAGAUCUUAAGAACAUGUUUGUGUUCUCUAUAUACUGUCUUAGCUUGUGAGUGAGCCACAAAAACAAGUUUGGAUUGAAAAAGCAAAUGUACUAGUUCUUGCUUUGUUAUGGUCAGGUUUUAAGACUGUCUUUGGACACUUUGAAAAUUUUAAAUAUGAUGGGUUUUUACAGUUUGUUCUUUGACACUCAGAGCCUCAGUUUUGUUUGUCUUCUGAAUGAAAUAACAACUGGUCUUUGGGUUUUUUGAGAUCCAUGACUCUUCUGAAAGACUUGAGCUGUCAUUUAGCAUGAACAAAUGUACAUAUGAAUAAUAACAUACUGUCUCCGAAUUCUUCCUGCAGUUCUACCUGCACUUCAAUCCUGCUGUGAUGGCUGGAUUUGCUCAAUCAAUCAGGAAACCUGCAGACACUCACAUAAUGGUCACCAUAAGUGCUCCUCAGAUUACCUUUCUAAUUGGUUGUUGUUUCCCCUUGCAUGUGGUUGGAAGUGCACUAGGUGGUAUUUCUGCUAAAAUCUCAGUCUUUCCCUGUCCUUGAUGGUAGCGUGCAGUCUCUAGGCAUCAGACAGCUCCUGUUUUUAGCAAGAGUUGUCUGUACCUCUCCAGUAUCUAUGUAUUUAGGUAACUGUAUGGCAAUGAAUGAAAGCUCCAAUGUAUAGGAGAUUAGAAAGAUUCAAUGUCUAUCUUACCAAUUAUUCCUUGCUGGAAGGUUUUAUUCAAUAUUAUUCCAAUAAUUAAAAAAACCCCAAACCUACAAAUAAAACUCAAACACAAAAAAAAUCCCCUCCCCCCAAAAAAACCCCAACAACUUACCGACAGUCAAACUAAACUAUAGUUUUCUUAAUUUUGUCUAAUUAUGGCACAAGACAGCCCUUGUGUAAGCCUAUAGGAACUUUUGCCUUGCCUGUUAUUUAUAAGCUUUCAUAUUAUGUGAGAGGCUUUAAAUUUCUCUGGAUAAAUUAUGUGUCGGUAAAAUAUUGAUUCUUUUUAAUUAACAUGUUCAUUAAUAAUGAUGUUUAAUUAGUUCAGACAGACCUGCACUGCAAAUUGGCCUGUAUGUUUCUUUCUCCAAAUAUGGAUUAAAAUUAAGCUUUAUAGUUUUAUACUGAGCUUUUUAAGCUGAAAACAAUAGUCAAAAGGAGUAAACAAAUGCAGGAUUGUUCCAGUACUCUGCUUCCCCAGCAUGUGAUAUUCUAAAAAUAUAGAAGUACCUAAGACCACUUUAAGUGUCAAAGAAUUUCUGCAAAAUUAAGUCCUUCAAACUGUCUACAAAGCUCCCCCUCAGAAGUUUCUUUAAUUAGUUGUACGGAUUUUGAACAGCUAUGAUUCUGCUGCACUACAGUCUGAGUCUGACAGCCUAAAAUUGUAAACGGGGGAGAACAUUUUUCAUGUCCUUUUUACAGAAGUGUAGACUAUGGACACAAAUGAAUGCAUUGUUGAUAAAUCAAAGGGGAGGAGGAUCCUUUGGCCACAGCAACUUGACAUGCUUCCAACCUUCUCCAGGACUGUUACAGCCCACUUAUUUUACCUUUGCUACUUCAGCUCCCUCAUACUAAUUUCACUUUUGGAGGGGUGUGCUGGGCAGAGAAAGCUGAUGCUGGUCAGAUAGCUACUGCUGUCAGGAAAUAACUCAUUGUACAUGAAGGCUUAUUCCACACUUCCUACUUGCAGUGUGCUUCCUCUCAGGCCACGGAGCCCUAGCCACAUGAUUUUUAGAUACCAGGGACUUUCCUGUGAUCAUAGGAGGAUUAGGUAACUGCCCUACUGCUUGUUGCCUCCCUGCUGGGGGUUUAGGAUUUGAUCCAAACCCAACAGAAAUCUGGACAGAAUCUCACUGACUGACACUGGUUUUUAAAGUCAGACUCUAUAAAGACAGUCUUCAUGGAGUAGAAAAUUUGAAUAAAUGUGAUCAACUGAAAUGACUGCUUUUUCCUAAAGUCUCCACCCUGCAUCCAGCAGUCCCAUCAACCUUCAAUGUGAAUGUAUAUGCUGGGGGCCUAGCAAGAACACAGGCCUUACAGAUUUUUCACCAAAUUAAAGAUAUUCUGGACUUUUGGCAUUUUCUAGCCCAGCCUCCUGCUCAAAGCAGUACUACCAGCAGUGCUGGAUCAGGUCAGCCACGUCUUUGCCUAGCUGAGUCUAGAAAACCUUAAAGGAUGGAGACUCUGCAACCUGAGUGGCCUGUUCCAGUACUGCACUACCCACAUGGUGAAAAAGUUUCUCACAUCUGGCUUGAACUUCUGAAGUGCAGACAUCUGCCCAUGCCACUGGUCAUUAUCUGCCACUAUGGAGAAGAACAUGACUCUGUCUUCACAACUGACCUUCAAGUUGCUGUAGGCCUCUAGUAGAGCUCCCCCCAGCUUCAUUCACCUAACCAAACAAGACUGGCUCCCUCAGCCUCUCCUUGUAAGGUAUGUGCUCUAGGGCACCAUCUUGGUAGCUGUCUACUGCAUCCUCUCCAGUUUCUCAACAAUUUCUUUGAACUGAGGCCCCUAAAGUUGACUGCAGUAUUUCUGAUGCAGCCUCACCAUUUCUGAGAACUAAGGCAGAAUGACUUCUUUCACUUUGCUGACUGCAUUUCUAACGUAGCCCAGUAUGCAAUUUUCCCCCUUUGUGAUGGGAGCACACUGUUGGCUCAUGAUCAACUUAACUUCCAUCAUAACCACUACGUCCUUUUCAGCAGGGCUACUUGACAGCCAGUUGAUCCUUAUUUCUUCUUUGCAACAUGUUACCCCUAUGCUUACCCACCCUGUAACCAGAAAACCCAGCAACUUUCAUCCUGUUUUAAGAUCAACUUGACUUAAAAAGUUUAGAGGGAUUUUGUACUUGUGUACUUGUUAGCUGGAUCUACUACAGAGAUAAGCAUCAGUUGCACAAUCUGCGAGCAGUUCUACGUGCUUGGGUAUCUGGGCUGUAUGCAGUGUGGUGUUUUACACUCUUCUAUAGCUUUCCCACUUUCCCUCUUGGCAUUCCUCAUUGUGGCAAAAAGUAGCUAUCCAACCUCUUUUUCUGUAAUUGCUCUCGCUAACUACAGGCAGUAAACAAAUUAGCCUGUGAAAACGCAUGU